rnacentral:misc_RNA from 1 species
GUAGGUGAACCUGCGGAAGGAUCAUUACAGUGAUUGGGUGUCCCCCGGGACGCCCGACCUCCCACCCCUUGUCGUUCAAAACACAACGUUGCUUCGGCGGACCGGCGCCCCUCGCGGGGCUGACCGCCCGGCUUCACGGCCGGGAGAGCGCCCGCCGGAGGACCACACAAACCUCGCUCAGACCCACGUCAGAGUACAAAACAAAACAAAAACAAAAACUUUCAACAACGGAUCUCUUGGUUCUGGCAUC